AGAAGGGGGAGGGGGAGCAAAACCUCCCUGUGGGCGGCUCCCUCGCGCCAUGUCAGGGUUUCAGUUAGUGCCCGCGGACGGGGGCUGCCCUGUGACGCUGCCGCGCGGGGAGACAGUGAUAGGAAGAGGCCCCCUGCUGGGCAUUACAGAUAAGCGAGUAUCUAGGAAACAUGCCGUAUUAGAAGUGGUGGGUGACCAGCUCCGUAUCAAACCGGUCCAUGUAAAUCCUUGUUUUCUUCAGUCAUCUGAAAAUGGUGACCUAUUACCACUGGAGACACAUGAGUGGCACUCUUUGAACCCAGGUGACAGCUUUUCCCUGUUAAUAGACAAAUAUCUUUUCAAGGUCCUUUUUGCUCACUCAGAUGUGGAAAGUACACUAAGGAAAAAUCAUAAGGUUAAUGUACAAGAACCACUGAAUUUUCCUUCAAGUGUUGAUCCUGUUGAGCUGUCAUGUAGUCCAACAUGUCCUAAUAGUGAUAUCCAAGUGGAAGGCUGUUCCCAGUUGGAAAGAAAAGCCGAAAUGCCAAAAAACGAAACAGCUUCCAGAGAUUCAGUUUUUCCUGCCAAUUGUAAUGAAAAUGAACAACAAAAACCUGCCCAGAGGAAAAGGGUGCUUCCACCUUGGAUGCUGCAAGGAGAUUUAGUGGUUCAAAACCUUUCUACCCCAGUCACUAAAAGAGGUUGCAGAGAAACAAGAGGGAAAGAAAAAAACAGCAGGGAACUCUCAGAAUCAAAAGUGAGAAAUGUUCAAGUUAGAAAACGAUUAGUUACUGAAGACAUUGGAGAGGACUGUGAAGACACAGAGCAAGUUCAGGGAAAGAAGAGCAAAACUACUGAAAAAGACAACACAUCACAGAGUACAUCUGGAACCCCAUUUGCAAUGGCUGUGAAAAAAAUAGAAGGGAAUGAGAAGUCUGUGAUACAAAAGACUGAAAGAUCUAUGGAAAAAAGUGAUUGGCAACCCCAUAGCCAAGUUUCUGACCACAGGCUAGUUGCAGAAGGCCAGCUCUGUACUAAGACCAAAAAGACCAAUGAAAUGGAAAACUUGGAACAGAUCAUCCCUUCUGCAAGCCAACCAGCUCACCAGGACAAAUCAUCCCAAUCUCGGGUUUCACAGGAUGAGACUCCAGAGCUUGACGUAAACUCAGAUCCCGGUACUGGAGUUUCUGAUUCAACAGGAAGGAAAGAUGCUCUGCAGAGUUCUAAGCAAACCCAGCACAAGAGGGUCCCUUGCAUGUAUGGAACAGGUUGUUACAGGAAGAAUCCAGUUCACUUUCAGCAGUUCAGUCACCCUGGAGACAGUGAUUAUCAUGAUGUACAGGUUGCAAGUGAAGAUGACAGCGAUGACAGACCUGAAUGCCCAUAUGGAAGUACUUGUUACAGCUAAAAUUGAUGGCAGCUGGUUAGCUGAUUUAUUGGACAAAAGCAUGUGAAAAAAUGAAGAGUACUGGAGUGAACUGAUGCAUGAUGAACUUCCUUUACCAGAAUUUGGCUAGAAACAUUGACUCUAAGAAAAUGUUUUUAAAAUGAAGUACUGCUUUGAAACCUGACAGCUAUCAGUUUCACGAGUAAGCUGAAUUCUGUUCCAUCUUGUGACUCAGCAUAGCUCUUUUAGUUGCUUUUCAGUUUUUAAAUUCAACCAUAUAUGGUAUAUCCUGUGAGAGUACCACCAUCAUCAGAAGAAAAUGAAUGCCCACCUUUCAUAAAAAUAUACAAACUGUAUUCUAAAAUUCUUUUUAAUUUGUUUUAUUUUUAAUCUCAAGAAAGGCUACAGCCUAAACAAUUUGUGAAAGAAAAUGCAUAAUUACCUUUUAAGAAUUCUCUGUUUGUGAACUUCUGUUUCAAUAAACGAAAAACUAGCUGACCUGAAUGUACUGCUUUAGGUAAGACUAGAUUUUUUUUAAGCAUCCUGAUGCUUUCAUAGCUUAGUGUUUCAGUUUCAUAGUAGCUAGGGUCAGGAGGGACCUGAACAGAUCAUUUAGCCUGACCCCCUGCCACAAGCAGGAAUGAAUGCUGGGUUCACAAGACCCCAGACAGGUGAUCGUCCAACCUCUUCUUGAAUUUGCCCAAGGUAGGGAUGAGGACCACUUCCCUGGGAAGUUGGUUCCAGAUUUUGGCCACCCUAACUGUAAAAUAUUGCCUUCUGAUCUCCAACCUAAACCUAUUCUCCAUCAGCUUAUGACCAUUGUUCCUCGUCACCCCAGGUAGUGCUGGGGAGAAAAGAGCUCUGCCUAUUUGCUGUUGAUCCCCCUUGAUGAGCUUAUAGGCAGCCACCAGGUCCCCCCUCAGCCUCCUCUUGCUGAGGCUGAACAGGUUCAGGUCCUUCAGUCUCACCUCAUAGGGCCUGUCCUGCUGCCCUCUCACCAAGUGGGUGGCCCUCCUCUGAACCCUCUCCAGGCUGGCCACAUCCCUUUUGAAGCGCGGCACCCAGUACUGGACGCAGUACUCCAACUGCAGCCAGACCAAAGUUGCAUAGAGGGGGAGUAUCACAUCUCUGGACCAGCUUGAGAUGCACCUUGUUGGCUACGGUCUGGCAUUGGCAGCUCAUGUUCAUCUUGGAGUCAGUAAUGACUCUGAGAUCCCUUUCCGCCUCUGUGCUUUCAAGAAGGGAACUCCCCAGACUGCAUGUAUGCUGUGGAUUCCUUCUCCCAAGGUGCAGCACCCUGCAUUUGUCUACGUUGAACCCCAUCUUAUUCUCGUCUGCCCACUUCUGUAGUCUGUCUAAAUCUAGCUGCUGUCUCUCUCCCUACAAGUGUGUCCACCUCGCCCCACAUCUUAGUGUCAUCAGCAAAUUUGGACAGCGUGCUUUCCACCCCCUCGUCCAAGUCGCUGAUGAAGACGUUAAACAGUCGGGCCUGAGGACAGAGCCCUGGGGUACCCCACUGCUCACAUCUCGCCAGGUUGUGUACAACCCGUCCACCUCUACUCUCUGGGCGUGCCCCUUCAGCCAAUUUUUUUUACUCAUCCAACUGUGCAGGCAUCUAUGCCAGAGUGACUUAAUUUAUUGAUGAGGAUGGGGUGACAGACAGUGUCAAAGGCCUUCUUAAAGUCUAGAAAGACUAUGUCCACAGCAACAGCAUCAUCCAAGGAUUUAGUUACUUUGUCGUAAAAGGCAAUCAGGUUGGUCUGGCAGGACCUGCCUUUGGUGAACCCAUGCUGAUUGCCCCUGAGCGUGAUCUCCCCUGCAGGCCCCCCACAGAUAUGCUCCUUGAUGAUCCUUUCCAAGAGCUUCCUGAGCACCGAGGUGAGGCUUAUAGGCCUAUAAUUACUUGGGUCCUCCUUCCUCCCCUUCUUAAAAAUAGGGACCACAUUAGCCAGUUUCCAGUCCCCCGGCACCUGGCCAGAUGACCAUGAAUGCUCAUACAGCUGGGCCAAGGGCUCUGUGAUGACCCCUGCCAGCUCCCUCAACACCCUUGGGUGGAGGGCAUCUGGACCUGCAGAUUUAAAAAUGUCUAGCCCUUCCAGAAGAUCCCUAACUACAUCUGGACUGACUGAAUGCUUGAUAGAGCUAUCCCCAAGAUUGUCCCUACCUCUGGUAGGUGGGAUAUCCCGGUCCCUGUUCAGGAAAACGGAGGCAAAGAAACUGUUAAAAAUAUCAGCUUUCUUGUUUGGCGUGUCCACCAGAUUACCAUUUGUGUCUUGCAGGGGCCCUACAUUGCCUGGUGCCCUCUUCUUGCUCUCAAUGUACUUGAAAAAGUACUUUUUGUUGUCCUUAAUCCUGGCCGCCAGCCUGAGUUCCAUCUCUGCCUUGGCCCUCCUAAUAGCCCUCCUACACUCCCGGGCCGAGGAGGAGUACUCCUCCUUGGUGAUAGUUCCUGCCUUCCACUGGUUGUAUGCCCCCCUUUUAGUCCUCAGGCAUUCCUGAAUACCGGUGAGCCAAGGGGGUUUCUGAGCACUCCUACCCCCCUCCUUGCUUCUCUCAGGGACUGUUAUUGUUUGGGCCAGGAGGAUCAUCCCCUUAAGGUACGAUCAUCCACCGUGGGCUUCCAUCUCUACCUUCUGGGCCCUCAGUGCCUCCCCCACUAGUCUCCUAAACUCAUUGAAGUUGGCCCUUCUGAAGUCAAGGGCUUUAUUUAGCCUUGGUGCGAGCCCUAGACACCCUGUGUUGGAUAGUGUGUCUGUGUUUUUAGCAGAGAAUUUUCCUUAAAUCUUUUCAGCUCUAUCUUAGAUUGUGUUCCUCUGAUGGGUUCUAAGCUGGAACUAAGCAGAAUAUCAAUCCCUUCAGUCAUCUGAAUUAAAAGAAGCAUAAUCUAGACAUUUAAAUUGGAUUAAAAGAAUAAAAAAAAAGAGAUUGUCAAAAAUCUUUAUGGAAAAAGGAAGUUAUAAUCAUAAUAAAAUGUUAUAGUUUGGGCUUAAUAGGAGGUACAUAAUUUUAUCGUGAAGUAAUUUAGAUGCUUCUAUUGAGCAUUUCCACUGAAAUUUUCCUUGUAAAUUAAUCAACAAUUAUCAUUCAGUUUUGUGUUGUUUCAAUUGCAUCCUGUACCACAAAUCAAUCUGACCAGGGUUCUAGUACUUUAGCACCUCCCAAACUAUUCAUGCGGAAAAGGAAACUGCAGGAAGAGCACAGACUUGACAUUUCCAAAGGAGACACUAUAUGACAGAAAUCAGCAGCAAGGGUAAAUACUGAAAAGUCACCUGCUGCUUCUCCAGCCCCCCUUGGUCUUCCUUUCCCCCUUGCUGCAGCUGCCUCUUCUCCCACCAUGGACUUUUCCACUUGCAGCAAUUGUCACAGGAAUGGGCAGUGAAGCUAAGGGGUGGAACUGAGUUAGUAGAACAUGAGAGGAAGAGAGCAGCACUUGCACAGAGCAAGGAGGGCUGGGGUGGCUUCAGUUCAGGGGCACAUGAAUGGGGAUGGGGAAUGGAGAAUGGGGAUGUACCAUAAUGACUACUUCCAAGUGAGAAGGGCUGGAAUACACUUAGCUUUUACUAAAGUCCAUCAUUACACCUGCUUAUUUUGACCAGAAGAGGCAGCUAGGGAUUGAGUCCAGUUUCAGUUUAUGACAAAUUCCCAGUUUCAAGUAAAACUCAGUUACUUGGCCAACUGAAAAACAAUUGUUUUCACUCUAAAUGUUUUUCUUGGUUAAAUCUUUAGCACAAGUCAAAUAGCAAAGCAGCUGAGGGAUUAACUCAUGGCAUUGAAGUGAUCUUGCUCAUGACCGGCUACUGUGCACCUGUCUGCAUAGUAGACUUCUAUGCGCCUAUGUAUGCUGCACCUCUGGGAACAAAAAAAAAUUAAUAGACAACACAGGAGUACUCAUAAAUUGAACUGCUAGUGGAAAGCUGUCAUUCUCAAAUCAGUAGAAUGUUUGAAUCAUGGGCUUUCAUGAUAUAUUAUGUUUUUGCAUUGCUUCUGUUUGCUGCAGGCUUCCAUUACUAUAAAAGUGUUAGUCUUAACAGAUUUGCACAGUAUGCUGUAGCUGAAAGUAGACUUAAAUGUUUGGAGGAAAGAGGUAGUGGCUUAUUCCAGCCUCUUUUUAAAGGAAUCUCAAAAGUGGUGUGGGUGGAUAGGAGUGUUUGGAUGCAUGUGUGUGGUUGGGUGUGUUUGGUGAUAUACAGACCAUUUUAUAAUGUUUUCUAACUUAUCUGCACUAUAAAAUUAGUUUAGACAAAAACAUCUUUCAGAUUCUUGUCUUGCUAAAAUGAUUGCUAAUUAUCACGUCGGCUGUUAGUUGCAGAUGGUAUAUUUUUGUUCUGAAGAAUGAUUGCCUAUAAUUUAGUCUUUUAAUUUUGUAAAAACCUGUUGAGUUGGUCAUAAAUAAUAUCAAAAAGUAAACAUCUUCAAUUAUUUAUUUAUUCCAUUUGUAAAGAAUUGCAGCCAACAACUUAGCAAACUUUCUGUAUUCUUCAUCUCAUUCUCAUGCCAAAACUUAAAAUAUUUUUCUUAUUUAGCUUUAUACUUUAAAAUUUGGUAAUUCUUGUUUGACUAUUUGUCUUGCCUUUUCUCUGCAUUUGUCAGGGAACAGAGUUCCACAUAGUUAGGUGGGGAGUUUGCUUAUGAUGUAAAUGUCAGUCUUUAAGUGUAGUGGAUUCCUUCUACUUGCUGUAUGGUCAUCUCUUAUGCAAAAGGAAUAUUGUGAGAUUAUGAAUAAGGGUCUACUUAAAUCACUACACCACGAUCAACCUACAAAAGCCAGUAAGUAAAGUUCUAAUUCCACAGUUGUUUUGUGGCAGCCUUACCCCUCGCCAUUGAUUGUUGGGAGAAGGGCCAAGGGAGCGGGGGGCUGCCAUAUUGAUUGCUGACUGCCCUUUGUGUAGCCCCACCCUUUGGUGCUGAUUGGUGGAGAGGCCCUGGCAGGGGGAGGAAGGAUAAGGGGGCAACUGCCAUCUUUUCUGCUGUCCUUUGUGCUGCCCUGCCAGACGGUACCUUCCCCUCCCAGCAACAGGAACUACUGGCUUCUACUUUUUUGUUAAAUAUUUUUAAAAAAUUGAUUUCAUGGACAGUCCUGGAUUUCAGUUUCUGUGAAACUGCAAAUUAAGUAGGUCCCUAGUUAUGAGUUAGUGGGAGGUGUGUGUGUUUUGGGGGGAUGAUGAUGAUUAUUUCAAAAACAAUUCAUGGAAAAAGCUAGAAUCCAGAUAAUUCUCAUUAAACUAUAGUGAUCUGAAGGCAAGUCCAAUUUGGGUGUGGCAUUCAUUGUAGAAUCAGAGAAAAUGAGGGUUGGAAGGUGUCGGGACCCAGGUCAGCCGGCCAGCAGCUGUCCUUGACUCCCACCUGGGCAGUGGUCGGCAGAGGGUCGGUCCGGGGGCCUUAGAAGCUGUCAGGCGGGUACUUGUGACGCUUGGAGUGAAAUUAAUUAGGCGGACGCUUAUCGGUUGCAAAGCAAGAUUAUUUAUUUACGCCAUCAAGGUGGUGAAAGAUGGAGGUCAGAGAUACUUGGUUAGUUACAGUUUAGAAUUUAUGAGGUUGGUCUGCCAAGUAGGUCAGUUCGCAAAAGUGGUCGGGGCAGAAGGUCGGGCCGGCGGUCGUCGAUUACGAACUGGCAAGUGAUCAAAUUGCCAGUUUACUCUAACACCUGUGUUAGAGGUCUCCAGGUGUAUAUGGAGUCGCUCUCUCCGACUUCACGGAAAUGCAGCGGGGUUUUGUUUGUGUACUAGCCAAUUGCUUUUCGCCACGUCAUAAAUUUAAUUAGAAUCGCCAAUUAUCUAGCGGUCUUCGCUAGGGUAUUAUCACAGGGUUACUCCUUGUUUUCUUUGACCAAUUAUAAUGAUUUAUGUACAGCACAGAAGGCUAAGUUCUGUCUCUGUUAGUGGCGCAGCAAUAAAUUUCUUUUUGACAUGCGUAGCAAAAAAAAGAAGCUGUUACUAUCAUUUUGUUAGUUAACUCUUAGUUAACCUAGUGCAGACUAAAACUGUUUUGAAUGGUUUUACUUGCUUGUGACAUGGGCACUACUUAAUUGGGUUGUGACAGAAGGGACUUCAGGAUAUCAUCUAGCCCAAACCCUUGCUCAAAGCAGGACCAUCCCCAACUAGAUCAUCCCACCCAAGGCUUUGUCUAGCCAGGUCUUAACCUCCAAGGAUGGAGAUUCCACCACCUCUCUGGGUAGUCUGUUUUAGUGCAUUACUACUCUGCUCAUGAGAGGUGUUUUACUUUUCAGCUCACCUAAACUUCCCUCGCUGCAACUUAAGAUAAUUGUUUCAUUGUUUCUUGUCAUCUGCCAGCACUGACAACAGUUUAGCUGCAUCCUCUUUUGGAACCACCCUUCAAGUAGUUGAAGACUGUUAAAUCCCUCUCUGUUUUCUCUUCUGCAGAGAGGCUGAGGGACCCAGGCUUAUUUACUUUGGAGAAGGCAUGUGCCCCAGCUCCCUAACUGUUUUUGUUGCUGUCCGCUGGGCUGUCUCCAGAGUCCACAUCCUUUCAAUACUGGGGGGCCCAGAACUGGGCACAGUACUCCAGAUGAGGCCUCACCAGUGCUGAAUAAUCUUUUUCCUCUAUCUGCUGGCAAUGCUCCUACAAAUACAGCCCAGUAUGCUGUUAGCCUUCUUUGUAAUAAGGGCACACUGUUGGCUCAGAGAAGUUGGAUUCUCCAUACAAUAUUAGGUGAGUGAGGAACAAUUGAUAAGGCUUUUUAAUUUUGAUCUGUCCCAAAUCCAUAAUAACUUUUUUGCCAGGGAACUCUCUUUAGUACAUUCAGAAUUACUGCACUCUCUGAGUAGUAGUUCCUGUUUUCCUUCAUUCCUCAAAUAUUGUCAGGCAUGAUGAGAACAUAUUUCUGGAAUUAUUAGUUUCUACUUCAAAUUUCUGUUGUUUAAGAUAGGGUUUUAUUAUAGAAAUUGUAGGCAAAACAUUGCAUCUGAAUUAUGUGGAAGAAACCAAGAAUUAUAUUUCUGCCAACUCCCUCAUAUGCUCAUUCUCUAGUCCUCCUGCCCUAAUCUGGGCAGAUUUACAUCCUUUAUUUAAUAUUAAAUAUCGAUUUAUUUUACUGUUCCUAUCUAUUUUCACUUUUCAACAUGCCACAUAAUUUUGUAAGGAAAGCAUAACUGCAUUGAAGUCUGUAGUUGCUACAUCAGUAGCUGAACCUGUUGGAUAGGAAAUUGUUUGGGAUACUGAUAUCUAGCAAGAUGCAGGAGUCUUUGGUUUCUGAAAGCCAGAUGAAGAUUUUGCUUUUAGGCAGCAGGUAGAUCUCAUUUUUCCUGUCUCCUUCUGAUAGGAAGUGGAUGGAGCUUUCAAUCUGAGAUGCUGGAGAUGGGGACCUGUCCCACUAUCUGCCAUCCUGUCAGCAGUGAUAAAGAAUUGAAUUAAUUUGAUUGUCAUCCCAAAAUGACUAGCAGUAAAAUACUUAAUGUUAGUGUUGUUACUUAUCUUGGGUUUAAAUAAUAAUAACUUAAACUGAGUGGAUCAGUUGACACAUUUGAUUUUGAUUCUGCAGAAAACUUAAAAACAGUUAUCUGGUUGCAUUUAGUUCAAAUUAUUUUCAGUUACAAAGCCUGCUGCUUAUGUGUGACUGUUAACAGUAGUGACAUUUCAUCUCAUGGGCAAGAAUAUGUUAAUGAUUUAAAUUGAAAGAUGUUAACUCCCCCCCCAUGGCUUCUUCAGUGGUAUUAAAAGACUUAACCUACAGCAGCCAUACUUCCUGGCCAGCCCUUCUUUCUCUGUUUCUCAUAAAUGAGUCAUCCUGAAAAUGAGUAGUCUUGUUUAGAUUGUUUACUAUUUUUUAAAUUGUUCUCAGAAAUAUUGCAAACCAAAAAUAUAAUUCAACUGAAUAUUUCAAUAUAGACAAGCUGCAGAAAGCUGAAACAAUAUGUUUGCUGAAAUUAUUUUAUUUUUUAGAUUAGUUUGAAAAAAUCUCUAUAGGAUUCUAAGUCAUUUGAAUUAUAUAAAGCUCUGAGAAAUCAGCUUUCUUAAUGGUGGUUAAGAAAAUGUUCCGAGAUGAUGAUGAUGAAAAUAAAUAUAAAUAUAAAGCAAUGCAUGAAAAUGGUUCAGUGCAAGUAAAAUAAAUUAUACAAACACACAAGUAUGAUUCUAUUUUUAAAAUAGCCGUUUUAGAACUGAUUUAUUUUUUUAAAGAAAUCUCAAUUAUGAUUAAAAAAAAAAAAAGCUCUGGGCCAUUAACAAACCUACUAAGGAUGUUCAUACAAAAAGUGGAAUCUUGGUCAUAUUACUAAGGAAGAGUAUGGGAGUAUUGCAUGGGUGUGCAGAGAGAAAAUUAGGAAGGUCAAGGGAUGAUUUGAGAUGCAACUAGCAAGGGAUAUAAGGCAAUGAAAAUGGAUUCUACAAGUACUAUAUGUACUCAAAAUAGAAACCAGCUCCGAAGUUCUCUUUAAAUGCAGCCAACUCUAAGUAUGACUAUAAAGUACAUAGCACAUAUUGGGAAAACAUGCUGAUAGGUUAGUAGAGCCUGUCUGACUAAGAUGUAUGGUAGUGCCCAUCAAGUAAAAUGCCCUUCAGCACCAACUCUUUCAAGUCACAGUGAGCCACUACAUUGCAUAUAUUUCCACUACUUUUCACUCUCACAGCUAAGCUGUGCCUUUCUUUCCCAUUUCUAAUGAGUCAUAUUUCUUCACCAGCCUUCAUAGCUGGUGAACAUCACAAAUUGGGUCCCAAACAGUUCACCCAAAAUCCUUCUGUUGCCUCUUCUCUUGGCCUGCUGCAUAUGAUUAAUGUGGCCCUGCCCUCCAUGAAGUGAAGCUGGACCAGGUUGCCCCAUGCCUCAUCUGCAUAUACAUUUUUGAGCAUCUCAGGACUCAUGACAAAAACACCAAUUAGUCAUGAGUGGGGGUUAAUUAGUACAUAGCUUCUUUAUAGGGGAUAUUUGGAGUAUGCACACAUACUGUGUAGUGCUGAGCUGUGGGGUCACUAUGAUUUGAAAUGCUGUUGACUCUUGUGGAGCCAACUGUCACAGGCCAGCUAGGCGCUGUGAGUGUAUCACCUGUUAGGCUGCUGGGUUCGGGAUCAAGGAGGCGAGUCAGGAGUGAAGUAAAGGCAAAUUUACUUAUAGCUUAGCAUACAACAGUUAACAGAAAGGUUAAUGUGACAAACGAAUAGUACAAUAAUAAAGAGGUAAUAGUGAAUAAUAACAACAGAUAGACAAAAUGACAGAGUUCCAACAGAUAGACAAAAUGACAGAGUUCCCACAAGGGGUUGGCAACUUAUCUGUAGUCCCUCUGUGCCAGGUGUGCGCCAAGUUGUUCCAGCGAAGUCAGGUGUCCCCAAUCAACGCUGUCCGAGGGGUCACUGGGAAGAUCCCUCGGUCAGGAUCCAGUCCUCGUUCACACUGGGAGUCCAGGGUCCAGGCUUGGUACAGCAAUGGUCUUUCUGUCCUGUCCUUCAAACUGGUUACUUGACAUGAGCGUUCCUUUAUGCCUUAUUUUAUGCUAAUCUGUUGGCUUUAGAGCCACUCACAAUCUUGCCCUAUAGCUGUUACCCUGUGGGAUUAAAAGGUGUUAGAAAUGAUCAUGAAAGGUUGCUGCCUGAACUCAGGUUCACCCAAUAAGCAAAUUACACCAGAUUACUUUGAGGUUUGAAAUUAGCAUUACUCUGCCCAAGCUCAACCCCUUGGUUUCUUAUUCCUUUGGAUUCCUUGGAAUGUGCUAAUUAUAUUAGGUGGUCAGAUCUUGUUAUGGCUGACCUUUAAAAAAAAACCAAACCUGUUAGAUCAGCUAAUCUUGUAGUUCUGCUUAUUUUGGGGGCUCAGUCAGUCCCAUGAUCAGUGUGAACAGUUAGAUUCAACACUUUGGUUAAAUUGUGACAGAUAAAUUCCACUUGCGGGUUGCAAACUUGCGAGCUUUGCAUUAGCUAAUCUUAACUGCCAGAUAAUUGCCUGGAUGCCUCUAAGAGCAUAUAUGUUUUUCCAUAUGUAAAGUUGUACCAAAGUGCUACUUAAAAAUGUUUAUUGUAGAGUACCUGUGCUAAAAUUUACAGCAUUUUCAAAAAAGGGUAAAAUGUAUCAAUUCUGGAUGAACUAAGUCUAUGGGUACUAUAUGCAAAUUACUGCAGCUAUGUUUACUUCAAGGUCAGUUUUUAAAUUUGCCCUUCACUUCCAUGUGCUCAGAGAGAGCAGGGUCUGACAGUAAGGAGGGAGGGAAAGGGCUGCAGUAGAAAAAAGUUGCAGAGGACAAAGGGGCUACCUGAACUCUUAGAUUUAUUUUCCCUGCUAUAGCAGUGGGAGGGGGACAAAUUCAUGACAAACCUCAAAAAAAUUAUAUUCCAUACCUGGAAAAUUGUAUCAAAUGUAUUUAUCUUCAGUAUAAAAUGUAAUUAUUGGGGGGUGGGGUGGGGAUCAUCUUGUAAUCAGGGCCAUCUUAUAUUCAAGUAAAUACAGUAAAUAAAAAAUAAUACCAAAGAAACCACAGUUCUCCUCUUGAAAACCAGAAGGCAGUGUAGUUACAGAUGAUGCAGAGAAUAUUUAAAGCCUUUUUUUACUUCAGUCUUCACAAAUAGGGGCAGCAACUGGACUAUGAGUUCAGUUGACAGCAAAGAUGGGGAAGGAAACAAACAGCCCAGCAUAGUGGAAGAACAGGUUAAGAAAUAUUAGAUAAACGAAAUACUUUCAAGUCAGCAGGGACAAAUGGGGUGGGGGGAGGGGGGAUAUGCUUUCGGUUACUAAAGGAAUUGGCUGAGGUAAUGUUUGAAUGAUGACUGAAUAAGGGUGAGUACAGUGUUUGUUUGUAAGAAAGGGAAAAAGGAGGAUCUACGGAAUUACAAACCAGUUAGCCUGACCUUGAUACCUGAAAAGAUCAUGAAGCAGGUCUUCAGGGAAUCUAUUGUGAAGGACCUAGAGGAGAACAUGGUGAUCAGGAACAGUCAGCAUGGAUUCACCAAGAGCAGGUCAUGUCUGACCAACCUGAUUUCCUUUUUUGGUAAGGUAUCAAGCUCUGUUGAUCAGGGGAAGAGCAGUGGAUAUGGUAUACCUUGACUUUAUCAAAGCUGUUGACACAGUCUCCUGCAACAUUCUCAUUAACAGACUAAGGAAGUAGAGACUAGAUGAAAGCACUGUAAGUUCAACACAUAACUGUUUGGAUCAUUAUGCUCAAAAAGUAGUCAUUAAUGUCAGGAUGGGAGGAGGGAGGUAUCAAGUAGAGUUUCCCAGGAGUCUGUCCUGGGUCUGGUAUUGUAUAACCUCCCCAUUAAUGAUUUGGGCAAUGAGAUUGAGUGCAAACUUAGCAAAAUGCAGAUCACAUCAAGUUGGGCGGACUUGCAGACACUCUGGAGGGAUUCAGAGUGCCUGGGAUAAAUUGAAGAAAUGAUCGGAAAUAAAUCAAAUAAAAUUCUACAAGGACAAAUACAAAGUUCUACACUUGGAACAGAAUAAUUGUCCCAUAAAUACAGACUAAGGAAUGACUUGCUAUUCUGCCGUAUUGCAGAGAAGGAACUGGGGGUUACAGUGGACCAUAAGCUAAAUAUAAGCCAACAGUAUGCUCUUACUUGGAGAGAGAGAGAAAAGAGAAAAAAAGAAAAAGCCAACAGUUAGUCAGUUAUAUCAACAGGAGUGUCACUUGGAAAUCAAAGGAAAAGAUUCUUCCAUACUAUUUGGCACUGGUGAAGCCUUGCUUGCAGUACUGUGUCCAGAUUUGGGCCCCACACUUUAAGAAGAAUGUGGACAGGUUGGAAAGGACCCAGUGCAGAGCGACAAAAAUGAUUAUAGGCCUGGAGAGCAACAUUUAUGAGGAAUGGCUUGAAAGAAGUAGGGUUAUUAGUUUGUGGAAGAGAAGCCUGAGGGUGGAUUUGGUAGCAAUCUUCAAAUGCCUGAACGGUGAUUAUAGAUAGGAUGGAGGUGGGCUUUUCUCUGUGGCUAUAGGAGACAGGACUAUAUGAGCAAUGGCCUCAAGCUGCAGCAGAAGAAAUUUAGGUUGGAGAUAAGGAGGAACAUUCUGACUAUGAGGAUGGUCAAGAAUUAAAACACACAGAAUAUCUAGAAUCUCCUCCAUCGUGGAAAUAUUCGAAAGCAGGUUGUACAAAUGCUUAGCUGGGAUGGUUUUGUUGAACAUGAUCCUGAAUGAAUAGGAUAUUGGACUAGAUUAGAUGAAUUUGUGGGGUCCCUUCCAGCCUUAUUUUCCUCUGUUCCUAUGAGGUUUGAAUACCAUUUAUUGGCAGGAACUUCUCUCUUCACUUUUUCAGUUACAGAAGGAUAACGAUUUGUUAUUGUUGCAGACCAUGAUUGUAAGCUAAACAAUGUCUUUUUUUCACAAAUUACUCUUGGAAACAUGGUACAAGACCCCUGAAUUUCUCCUGAACAAGUCCUGCAACUGUGUGUAGUGACCAGUAUGUAUAGUGUUUGGAUGUCUGCAGACCAGUACAUACUACUUCAUACAACUAAUGAUGCUAUUUAAUACAAAUAAUGGUGCAGAUGACUAUAAACAGUCAAGUUUAACACAUGGCUACUGGGAGGCAGAGUGGUCUGUAAAAGUGGCAGCUUGAAUAUGUAUGAUGACAAGGACAUUUGGAUCCAAUCCUCUUCAGUGUUUUGGAAGUCAGUCAUACUUUGCAUACAAUUUUAAUUCAGGAAGAAUCCACAGCACAAGAUUGAAUACAAGCAUACUGCUCCUCCAGGAACCGAAACAAGAACAACCCACCAAAAAACUCAUAGGAAAGG